UUAGAGUUUGAUCCUGGCUCAGAACGUACGCUGGCGGCACGCCUAACACAUGCAAGUCGAACGAAGUAGCAAUACUUAGUGGCAGACGGGUGAGUAACAUGUAGGUAUCUGCCCUUUGGCCUGGAAUAACACGAGGAAACUUGUGCUAAUACUGGAUAAGUCUUUACGGAGAAAGCUUUAUGCACCAUUGGAUGAGCCUGCACUUGAUUAGUUUGUUGGUGGGGUAAUGGCCUACCAAGACUGUGAUCAAUAGCUGAUUUGAGAGGAUGAUCAGCCACAUUGGGACUGAGACACGGCCCAAACUCCUACGGGAGGCAGCAGUGGGGAAUCUUGCACAAUGGAGGAAACUCUGAUGCAGCGAUGCCGCGUGAGUGAAGAAGGCCCUUGGGUUGUAAAGCUCUUUCGUCGGGGAAGAAAAUGACUGUACCCGAAUAAGAAGGUCCGGCUAACUUCGUGCCAGCAGCCGCGGUAAUACGAAGGGACCUAGCGUAGUUCGGAAUUACUGGGCUUAAAGAGUUCGUAGGUGGUUGAAAAAGUUAGUGGUGAAAUCCCAGAGCUUAACUCUGGAACUGCCAUUAAAACUUUUCAGCUAGAGUAUGAUAGAGGAAAGCAGAAUUUCUAGUGUAGAGGUGAAAUUCGUAGAUAUUAGAAAGAAUACCAAUUGCGAAGGCAGCUUUCUGGAUCAUUACUGACACUGAGGAACGAAAGCAUGGGUAGCGAAGAGGAUUAGAUACCCUCGUAGUCCAUGCCGUAAACGAUGUGUGUUAGACGUUGGAAAUUUAUUUUCAGUGUCGCAGGGAAACCGAUAAACACACCGCCUGGGGAGUACGACCGCAAGGUUAAAACUCAAAUGAAUUGACGGGGACCCGCACAAGUAGUGGAGCAUGUGGUUUAAUUCGAAGAUACGCGCAGAACCUUACCAACACUUGACAUGUUCGUCGCGACUCUAAGAGAUUAGAGUUUUCGGUUCGGCCGGACGAAACACAGGUGCUGCAUGGCUGUCGUCAGCUCGUGUCGUGAGAUGUUGGGUUAAGUCCCGCAACGAGCGCAACCCUCACUUUUAGUUGCCAUCAUUAAGUUGGGCACUCUGAAAGAACUGCCAGUGAUAAGCUGGAGGAAGGUGGGGAUGACGUCAAGUCCUCAUGGCCCUUACGUGUUGGGCUACACACGUGCUACAAUGGUAUCUACAACAGGAAGCAAGACUGCGAAGUUAAGCAAAUCCCUAAAAGAUACCUCAGUUCGGAUUGCACUCUGCAACUCGAGUGCAUGAAGCUGGAAUUACUAGUAAUCGUGGAUCAGCGUGCCACGGUGAAUGCGUUCCCGGGUCUUGUACACACCGCCCGUCACACCAUGGGAGUUGGUUCUACCUUAAGGCAAGGUUUUAAACCCUUGACCACGGUAUAGUCAGCGACUGGGGUGAAGUCGUAACAAGGUAACC
rnacentral:rRNA from 1 species